rnacentral:rRNA from 1 species
AGUUCAGAUUGCAGGCUGCAACUCGCCUGCAUGAAGUUGGAAUUGCUAGUAAUCGCGAAUCAGAAUGUCGCGGUGAAUACGUUCCCGGGCCUUGUACACACCGCCCGUCACACCAUGGGAGCCGGUAAUACCCGAAGUCAGUAGUCCAACCUCGUGAGGACGCUGCCGAAGGUAGGAUUGGCGACUGGGGUGAAGUCGUAACAAGGUAGC